rnacentral:rRNA from 1 species
AUUGAACGCUGGCGGCAUGCUUUACACAUGCAAGUCGAACGGUAACAGGCCGCAAGGUGCUGACGAGUGGCGAACGGGUGAGUAAUGCAUCGGAACGUGCCCAGUCGUGGGGGAUAACGCAGCGAGAGCUGCGCUAAUACCGCAUACGAUCUAUGGAUGAAAGCGGGGGACCGUAAGGCCUCGCGCGAUUGGAGCGGCCGAUGUCAGAUUAGGUAGUUGGUGGGGUAAAGGCUCACCAAGCCGACGAUCUGUAGCUGGUCUGAGAGGACGACCAGCCACACUGGGACUGAGACACGGCCCAGACUCCUACGGGAGGCAGCAGUGGGGAAUUUUGGACAAUGGGCGCAAGCCUGAUCCAGCAAUGCCGCGUGCAGGAAGAAGGCCUUCGGGUUGUAAACUGCUUUUGUACGGAACGAAGAGACUCUGGUUAAUACCUGGGGUCCAUGACGGUACCGUAAGAAUAAGCACCGGCUAACUACGUGCCAGCCGCCGCCGUAAAAC